rnacentral:rRNA from 1 species
CAUGCAAGUCGAGCGGUAGAGAGUAGCUUGCUACUCUUGAGAGCGGCGGACGGGUGAGUAAUGCCUAGGAAUCUGCCUAGUGGUGGGGGAUAACGUUCGGAAACGGACGCUAAUACCGCAUACGUCCUACGGGAGAAAGCGGGGGACCUUCGGGCCUCGCGCCAUUAGAUGAGCCUAGGUCGGAUUAGCUAGUUGGUGAGGUAAUGGCUCACCAAGGCUACGAUCCGUAACUGGUCUGAGAGGAUGAUCAGUCACACUGGAACUGAGACACGGUCCAGACUCCUACGGGAGGCAGCAGUGGGGAAUAUUGGACAAUGGGCGAAAGCCUGAUCCAGCCAUGCCGCGUGUGUGAAGAAGGUCUUCGGAUUGUAAAGCACUUUAAGUUGGGAGGAAGGGUAGUAGCUUAAUACGUUGCUACUUUGACGUUACCGACAGAAUAAGCACCGGCUAACUUCGUGCCAGCAGCCGCGGUAAUACGAAGGGUGCAAGCGUUAAUCGGAAUUACUGGGCGUAAAGCGCGCGUAGGUGGUUCAGUAAGUUGGANGUGAAAUCCCCGGGCUCAACCUGGGAACUGCUUUCAAAACUGCUGAGCUAGAGUACGGUAGAGGGUAGUGGAAUUUCCUGUGUAGCGGUGAAAUGCGUAGAUAUAGGAAGGAACACCAGUGGCGAAGGCGACUACCUGGACUGAUACUGACACUGAGGUGCGAAAGCGUGGGGAGCAAACAGGAUUAGAUACCCUGGUAGUCCACGCCGUAAACGAUGUCAACUAG